rnacentral:rRNA from 1 species
CCUACGGGCGGCAGCAGUGGGGAAUAUUGCGCAAUGGGCGAAAGCCUGACGCAGCGACGCCGCGUGAGGGAUGAAGGUCUUCGGAUCGUAAACCUCUGUCAGUAGGGAAGAACGGUCACUGUGCUAAUCAGCAGUGAAUUGACGGUACCUGCAAAGGAAGCACCGGCUAACUCCGUGCCAGCAGCCGCUGUAAUACGGAGGGUGCGAGCGUUAAUCGGAUUUACUGGGCGUAAAGCGCUCGUAGGCGGGAUGUCAAGUCAAGGGUGAAAUCCCCGCGCUCAACGUGGGAACUGCAUUUGAAACUGGCAAACUGGAGUGUGUUAGAGGAUAGUGGAAUUCCAGGUGUAGGGGUGAAAUGCGUAGAUAUCUGGAAGAACAUCAGUGGCGAAGGCGACUAUCUGGCACAUAACUGACGCUGAGGAGCGAAAGCGUGGGUAGCAAACAGGAUUAGAUACCCCAGUAGUC